AUGUGUUCAAGAAUAAAAUAUUUUGAAACUUUGAAGAUGGUUAAGGUGGAGUUGUUCGCCUUGGUGAUAAUAAAGCUUGCAAGGUUCGUGGUAUUGGUACGAUCAGAUUUAAAAUGUUUGAUGAUCGUGAACUUCUUAUUCACAAGUGAGGUAUGUUCCACAACUCAUGCGAAAUUUGUUAUCUAUAAGUAUGUUUAA